rnacentral:rRNA from 1 species
GAGUGAAACUCAAAGGAAUUGACGGGGACCCGCACAAGUAGCGGAGCAUGUGGUUUAAUUCGAAGCAACGCGAAGAACCUUACCUAAGCUUGACAUCCCAAUGACAUCUCCUUAAUCGGAGAGUUCCCUUCGGGGACAUUGGUGACAGGUGGUGCAUGGUUGUCGUCAGCUCGUGUCGUGGGAUGUUGGGUUAAGUCCCGCAACGAGCGCAACCCUUGUCUUUAGUUGCCAUCAUUAAGUUGGGCACUCUAGAGAGACUGCCAGGGAUAACCUGGAGGAAGGUGGGGAUGACGUCAAAUCAUCAUGCCCCUUAUGCUUAGGGCUACAC